CACGUAGGGCGCAAGCGUUGUCCGGAAUUAUUGGGCGUAAAGAGCUCGUAGGCGGUGUGUCGCGUCGGUCGUGAAAACUUGGGGCUUAACCCUGAGCUUGCGGUCGAUACGGGCAUCACUGGAGUUCGGCAGGGGAGACUGGAAUUCCUGGUGUAGCGGUGAAAUGCGCAGAUAUCAGGAGGAACACCGGUGGCGAAGGCGGGUCUCUGGGCCGAUACUGACGCUGAGGAGCGAAAGCAUGGGGAGCGAACAGG
rnacentral:rRNA from 1 species